UACGUAGGGGGCAAGCGUUGUCCGGAAUUAUUGGGCGUAAAGGGCGCGCAGGCGGUUCGCUAAGUUCGAAGUGACAAUCAACGGCUUAACCGGUGAACGAUUUCGAAAACUGGCGGACUAGAGAGCGAGAGAGGGACAUGGAACUCCGGGUGGAGCAGUGAAAUGCGUAGAGAUCCGGAAGAACACCACUGGCGAAGGCAGUGUCCUGGCUCGUAUCUGACGCUGAGGCGCGAAAGCUAGGGGAGCGAACGGG
rnacentral:rRNA from 1 species